rnacentral:rRNA from 1 species
UACAGAGGGGGCAAGCGUUGUUCGGAAUUACUGGGCGUAAAGGGCGCGUAGGCGGCCUGCUAAGUCGAACGUGAAAUCCCUGGGCUCAACCCAGGAACUGCGUCCGAUACUGGUUGGCUUGAAUCCGGGAGAGGGAUGUGGAAUUCCUGGUGUAGCGGUGAAAUGCGCAGAUAUCAGGAAGAACACCAAUGGCGAAAGCAGCUUUCUGGGACGGUACUGACGCUGAGACGCGAAAGCGUGGGGAGCGAACAGG